GUCAAUUCAGGCGCAUUCACACUUAAGGGAAUUGACAGACAAGUUGGGAUCCUUCUUUUCAAACAUGUUUUUUCUUCAAUUUGCCACGAGCGGUCUAUGUAUUUGUGGAUCCAUUUAUUGCCUGGCAUUUGAUAUCGGUGACAGCCUGUUGGAACGUUUUAUGUAUUUUUUGGUGUUCUUUUUCAUCGUUGCUGAAUUGUUUAUGAUCACGUACUUUGGGAAUGAGAUUAUGUUGUCGAGUAAUCGGCUCUCCUACUGUUUAUUUGAAUCAGACUGGUACAACCAACCACAAUCAACAAAGAAGUGUGUCAUCAUCGUUGGCGAACAUUUGAAGCAACCACAAGUGCUGCUAAUUGGCAAAUUGUAUCCAUUAAC